UACGGAGGGUGCGAGCGUUGUCCGGAAUCAUUGGGCGUAAAGGGCGCGUAGGUGGCGCGGUAAGCGUGCGGUGAAAGCUCGGGGCUCAACCCCGAGUCGGCCGUGCGAACUGCUGGGCUUGAGCACUGUAGAGGCAGGCGGAAUUCCGGGUGUAGCGGUGGAAUGCGUAGAGAUCCGGAAGAACACCGGUGGCGAAGGCGGCCUGCUGGGCAGUAGCUGACACUGAGGCGCGACAGCGUGGGGAGCAAACAGG
rnacentral:rRNA from 1 species